UAACUUAGUGGCGGACGGGUGAGUAACGCGUGAGUACCUGCCUUUCAGAGGGGGAUAACGUUCUGAAAAGAACGCUAAUACCGCAUAACAUCGCAUGAUCAGAGGAGCAAUCGCUGGAAGAUGGACUCGCGUCCGAUUAGCCAGUUGGCGGGGUAACGGCCCACCAAAGCGACGAUCGGUAGCCGGACUGAGAGGUUGAACGGCCACAUUGGGACUGAGACACGGCCCAGACUCCUACGGGAGGCAGCAGUGGGGGAUAUUGCACAAUGGGGGAAACCCUGAUGCAGCAACGCCGCGUGAGGGAAGAAGGUUUUCGGAUUGUAAACCUCUGUUCUUAGUGACGAUAAUGACGGUAGCUAAGGAGAAAGCUCCGGCUAACUACGUGCCAGCAGCCGCGGUAAUACGUAGGGAGCGAGCGUUGUCCGGAUUUACUGGGUGUAAAGGGUGCGUAGGCGGCGAGGCAAGUCAGGCGUGAAAUCUAUGGGCUUAACCCAUAAACUGCGCUUGAAACUGUCUUGCUUGAGUGAAGUAGAGGUAGGCGGAAUUCCCGGUGUAGCGGUGAAAUGCGUAGAGAUCGGGAGGAACACCAGUGGCGAAGGCGGCCUACUGGGCUUUAACUGACGCUGAAGCACGAAAGCAUGGGUAGCAAACAGGAUUAGAUACCCUGGUAGUCCAUGCCGUANACGAUGAUUACUAG
rnacentral:rRNA from 1 species